CUUCCCGGUGCUGGGCGUGAGCUUCAAACCCAGACGGGGCACGGC
rnacentral:tRNA from 13 species